rnacentral:rRNA from 1 species
AUUGAACGCUGGCGGCAUGCCUUACACAUGCAAGUCGAACGGCAGCAUGGAGAGCUUGCUCUCUGAUGGCGAGUGGCGAACGGGUGAGUAAAGCAUCGGAACGUACCGUGUAGUGGGGGAUAACGUAGCGAAAGUUACGCUAAUACCGCAUACGCACUGAGGUGGAAAGCAGGGGAUCGCAAGACCUUGCGCUAUACGAGCGGCCGAUGUCAGAUUAGCUAGUUGGUAGGGUAAAGGCCUACCAAGGCGACGAUCUGUAGCGGGUCUGAGAGGAUGAUCCGCCACACUGGGACUGAGACACGGCCCAGACUCCUACGGGAGGCAGCAGUGGGGAAUUUUGGACAAUGGGGGAAUCCCUGAUCCAGCCAUGCCGCGUGAGUGAAGGAGGCCUUCGGGUUGUAAAGCUCUUUCGGCUGGGAAGAAAUCGCACAGGCUAAUACCCUGUGUGGAUGACGGUACCAGCAUAAGAAGCACCGGCUAACUACGUGCCAGCCGCCGCAGUAACAC